UCCAAAUUCUAUAUCACUAAGCCUGGAUCUAAAUAAUAAAUAAUAUCCUCGAAGAAUCUUAGGGCACUUGCAUCGGGCGCUGCUUUGGAUCCGGUUGGAUGCACCACACUCCAAUGCGAAGCAGCUUCUCGGCCUUAGAGACCGAAGCUUCUCAAACCGCCAGGAACUUUGGGCUCCUCCCGCAAGACACACAGUGAGGAGCUCCGGGUAAUUGAAGACGUGCACCACGUCCAUAGCACCGAACGGAAACGAUGGUUUGUAGUGUUUGAGAUACGAGUUUAUCUGUUUCUUCCAGAUCACCAUUGCGAUGAUGAUUAUAGCCAUGGUUGCCACAGAGAAAACCGCGACGAUGGCUGGCUUUGCCUGUUUUUGCUACUUGGCGACUUUGUGAGUUGAGCUUCGGAAGAUCUCCAGCUUGGUACAGCUUGAUCGAAAACAGCAAAGCUUGAUCGACGACGUUGCGAGUUUUGUUCAGAGAAAAAACUUCGAUCAUCUGGAAACAGGGCCAUGCACGCUGCUGGAGUGACGUUGUGGAGCGCACUGGAUAAAUCUAGAGGUUUGUAGAAGUAUCGUACUGUGGCUUCGAGCAUGUAGUGAUGUUGCGAGUUCUCGCAGGUUCUUCCAGGUGCUUGCAUCCCUCCUUGUUCCCGGAAGAAACGUACUUCGUGAACGAUGCAGAGGCAUCCUUCAGCUGUCUCGAACGAGAUCCCACAGGUUCGAGUAAGCGAGCUUUUCCCGAAGAAGAGGGGGUUUAAGUUGAUGCUCUUCGUGCUGUUGCCGGUGCUGAAUGAUCUCGAGUAACACCACCGAUCGUUGGAGUGGACCACAUAACACCUUUCGUCCCGUGGAUUUCCAAGCUGCUAUUGACGAGGAAGAGAAAUGAUAUCUCUUCUUCUUCCUCAUCGGAGCUCCAGACCUCUCCAAAAGAUCCUCAACAUACUGGAGUUCAAAGCGACCGAGAAGCGGCUACCUCGAGUGAGAAGUACCCUGGCUCUUUGUUCUCCUAGAGAUGCUGGCUACUAACUUCAUCCCAGGGAGCACAGCAUCACAGGGAUGAUCAAAGCUCUGCCACAGGAAAGCUCCAAUUUUGCUCCGGAUGACGAGAUUUCCAGAGCUCUCGAGGGCCAAGACUUGCGCUCCAGAUCCUCCCGUGUUGGUCAACCACACAAAGCUUCCAAUGUCACUGGAAGCACCAUCUUCCUCCAAGCUCCACUCUCGAAUCCACUCCAGAUAUUUCGAAUUAGCCUUGGCUUCAGCACCCCUUCCUGCCUCCUACUUGGGAGCAAACCUCCCAAGAGUUCCAGUUCUACUUGUCAGUCUUCUACGCCAUGGACGACAAGGAGAGUUUCAAUCUCUACUAUCUAGCAGCGGUGACAUGGCGAGCUACGCGAAAACCGUCCCGAAAGGAGCGUACCUCAGCUUUACCAGCGAUGGCGACCUGGUGCUGAGCGACGUGGAUAGGUACCCAGCUUGUGCUUGGCUUGGCUGUGGAUUCCUGUUGGCAUUGUCCAAGGAGAACCAGCGGACGAUCUUAUGAAUCGAGCUAAUGAUCAAGUUUAAAUA